UGGGGAAUCUUGCGCAAUGGGCGAAAGCCUGACGCAGCGACGCCGCGUGGGGGACGAAGGCCUUCGGGUUGUAAACCCCUGUCCGGCGGAACGAAUCCCCCGAGGACGAACACUCCUCGGGGUUGACGGUACCGCCGGAGGAAGCCCCGGCUAACUACGUGCCAGCAGCCGCGGUAAUACGUAGGGGGCGAGCGUUGCUCGGAUUUACUGGGCGUAAAGAGCGCGUAGGCGGCCAGGGAAGUCCGGUGUGAAAUUCCUCGGCUCAACCGAGGACCCGCAUCGGAAACUCCCUGGCUUGAGUCCAGGAGGGGAGGGUGGAAUUCCCGGUGUAGCGGUGAAAUGCGUAGAGAUCGGGAGGAACACCGGUGGCGAAGGCGGCCCUCUGGAAUGGUACUGACGCUGAGGCGCGAAAGCUGGGGGAGCGAACGGGAUUAGAUACCCCGGUAGUCCCAGCCGUAAACGAUGGGCACUAGGUGUGGGAGGUAUUGACCCCUUCCGUGCCGCAGCUAACGCAUUAAGUGCCCCGCCUGGGGAGUACGACCGCAAGGUU
rnacentral:rRNA from 1 species